rnacentral:lncRNA from 11 species
CAACUUGAAAGGACAAGUUGGUUAAUGUUGAUUCUUUUAUUUGUUUCCUAGGCUGAACAAAACCUCUGAAACUGAAGAUCUGGCAGCAAGAAUGUUAAAAGUUUGUCCCCAAAACAGGAUUUCUGCACAGGAGGCACUUACUCAUUGCUAUUUCAGCUCAUUGCCCUCUCAGUUGUACGACCUUUCUGAUGAACAGUCCAUCUUCACCGUCCCCGGAGUGAAGCUGAAACCAGAAAUGUUUGAUCUCUUUGCUCCAUAUGAGAAAAGCCACCAACACAUCAGUUCUAGCAAGUUUUGGUGAAGAAGAAUAAAGGAGCGGAGCGUGUAGGCAAUGAAUGCUAUUUAUCAUCACUGCUUGAGAGAAUUGCUGAUACCUACUAGCUAAAGGAGACUGAACCUUUCCUAACAAUGUAGCAUCAUCGCCAGCUUUUGGA